AACGAACGCUGGCGGCAUGCCUAACACAUGCAAGUCGAACGAGACCUUCGGGUCUAGUGGCGCACGGGUGCGUAACGCGUGGGAACCUGCCCUUAGGUUCGGAAUAACUCCCCGAAAGGGGUGCUAAUACCGGAUAAUGUCUUCGGACCAAAGAUUUAUCGCCUUUGGAUGGGCCCGCGUUGGAUUAGCUAGUUGGUAGGGUAAAAGCCUACCAAGGCGACGAUCCAUAGCUGGUCUGAGAGGAUGAUCAGCCACACUGGGACUGAGGCACGGCCCAGACUCCUACGGGAGGCAGCAGUGGGGAAUAUUGGACAAUGGGCGAAAGCCUGAUCCAGCAAUGCCGCGUGAGUGAUGAAGGCCUUAGGGUUGUAAAGCUCUUUUACCCGGGAUGAUAAUGACAGUACCGGGAGAAUAAGCUCCGGCUAACCCCGUG
rnacentral:rRNA from 1 species